AUUGAACGCUGGCGGCAGGCCUAACACAUGCAAGUCGAGCGGAUGAAGGGAGCUUGCUCCUGGAUUCAGCGGCGGACGGGUGAGUAAUGCCUAGGAAUCUGCCUGGUAGUGGGGGAUAACGUCCGGAAACGGGCGCUAAUACCGCAUACGUCCUGAGGGAGAAAGUGGGGGAUCUUCGGACCUCACGCUAUCAGAUGAGCCUAGGUCGGAUUAGCUAGUUGGUGGGGUAAAGGCCUACCAAGGCGACGAUCCGUAACUGGUCUGAGAGGAUGAUCAGUCACACUGGAACUGAGACACGGUCCAGACUCCUACGGGAGGCAGCAGGGGGGAAUAUUGGACAAUGGGCGAAAGCCUGAUCCAGCCAUGGCGCGUGUGUGAAGAAGGUCUUCGGAUUUGAAAGCACUUUAAGUUGGGAGGAAGGGCAGUAAGUUAAUACCUUGCUGUUUUGACGUUACCAACAGAAUAAGCACCGGCUAACUUCGUG
rnacentral:rRNA from 1 species